GUCGAGCGGGGUUACUGCGACAGAUCCCUUCGGGGUGACGUUGCUUUAACCUAGCGGCGGACGGGUGAGUAACGCGUGGGUAACCUACCCUAAAGCUCGGGAUAACAGUGGGAAACCGCUGCUAAUACCGGAUGACUUUAACCUAUGGCAUCAUGGGUUAAAGAAAGAUUUAUCGCUUUAGGAUGGGCCCGCGUCCCAUUAGCUAGUUGGUGAGGUAACGGCUCACCAAGGCGACGAUGGGUAGCCGGCCUGAGAGGGUGUACGGCCACACUGGGACUGAGACACGGCCCAGACUCCUACGGGAGGCAGCAGUAGGGAAUAUUGCGCAAUGGACGGAAGUCUGACGCAGCGACGCCGCGUGAGCGAUGAAGGCCUUCGGGUCGUAAAGCUCUGUCCUUGGGGAAGAAGGUCUUCGGACUUGACGGUACCCAAGAAGAAAGCCCCGGCUAACUACGUGCCAGCAGCCGCGGUAAUACGUAGGGGGCGAGCGUUGUCCGGAAUUACUGGGCGUAAAGGGUGCGUAGGCGGCCCUUUAAGUCAGAUGUGAAAGGCCACGGCUUAACCGUGGGAUUGCAUUUGAAACU
rnacentral:rRNA from 1 species